GGCCCAGGUAGCUCAGUUGGUAGAGCAGCGGACUGAAAAUCCGCGUGUCGGUGGUUCGAUUCCGCCCCUGGCCACCA
rnacentral:tRNA from 1 species